rnacentral:lncRNA from 1 species
GUCUAGUGACGGUGGCUGCCGCGAGCGGGCGGACGCUCGCAACCUCUGAUGGAGGGGGGCUCAAGUUCACGGCUGCGGACGGGGAUGCGGGGGAUGCAGGGACCCGGGAGGCCAGGGAACCUGGCCAGUUGUUUUGGGCCAGGGGUGCGGGCGAGGGGUGGUUGUUGUUUCCCCACUUGUGGGGCCCGAAGUCAUCCACCGGCGGCCGCCACCGCGCGGGGCUGGAGGCUGAGAAUCCAAGUACGCUGCCACCCCCCCGCACUUCCGGGGGGGCGGGAAUACCGCCCUUAAGGUGGCUCUGUGAAGUCCCAGGUGGGGGCGAGCCUAAGGGGACUUAAGUUUAGGGGCGGUCUCCCGAGAGUCGGCCCCCCACGUUGAGAACACUCCGAAGUUUGCAUCUCGGUCAAGUUCAGGAGCGACGGUCCGCGGGGUCGUCUGGCUGCUCGUAGAAGCCGAGAGAUUUGUAUUGCCCGAAACUGGACGCUCAGCUGAGUCUCCGUUGCACCCCACUUCAUCCUCCGGGACCGUGGGGGAAAGGGCGCGGGGGUUCACAGCUUUGCCUCGGAGGGGCAGUUUUUAUAGUGGGCGCAAUUGGUGGGUAACAGGGUCCAGAUGGGAACAAGCGUGUAGGCGAUCCGAAACUCGGGGAACCCCGGUGUUAGUCUACUCCCCCUCCCGCCCCCGGACAACACGCACACGCUUAACACAACACGCACAACAUAACGCGCGCGCGCGCGCACACACACACUCCAUCCGCGCCGAGUUGCUUCCGGGAAAACAAGCCCAGAAGGCGGCGGACACUCGCAUAAAGUCACGCAGUAGUACUCGGAGCCCGGGGUAGAACCUGGACUUCAAAUCUCUGCACUCCCGGCCGGGUGGUGGGCGCAUAUCCUGGGUAGCCUCUAGGAAGCGCUAGACACAUAUUCCUAUCAGGCGAAGGCCGCCUUUCCUGGCCUCCCCCACAGGCCCGCCAGCGAUUCGUCCUUACAAGGCUAGCCUCCACGGGCUGCCCUCUGUGUAAAUAAAGCCACAGACUUCCGCCCACAGGUCGCCGCAGGUCCCGCCCGCAGCGCCGGGCCGCGGGGGAGGCGGGAACUGGUGCUACGGCCGCUACGCAGGCCUCGGGAGGCUCGGAGCCCGCCACGCCCCAGCCCUCUCGCAGGGCCGGGGAGCCACGGGGCCAAAAGGAGGAGCAGGUGGAAGAAAUCCAGGCUCAGACCGUCGGAGUCCCCACCCAUGAGCACCCUUCUCCACUGAUCACUCAGAACAUGGUAGGCCCUAGAGAGACAGCAGCCCGAAUCUUCCCAGAAACCCUGCAGGAGAUUCCUUCUUCCCAUUUUAUAGAAGGGAGGCUGAGGCUCGGCACGUUGAAAUGGCUUGACCAAGGUCCCACAGGCAAAAAAAUGGUACAGCAAGAUAUUGUAACCCAAUAUCUGGCUGCAAAACCCAGUCUCUCCCCAACCCACCUAUCGUCACCGAGAUUGUAAAACUUCUAACCGGGAAGAAUCAAAUACAUGCACAACGGGUUACAGGUUAACAGACAGAUGGGAGCGGAAAGGGACAUUCCAGCGCUUCCCUGGGCGUGUCGCACAGGGCAACUCCAACCACAGGCGAAUUUUCCUGGGUGACAGUUAAACUCCUUUUUGCAUGAAAAAAUACAGAUUCUUAUUAAAACAAUAAUCGAUUAGACUAUAAAACUCUCAAAGUUAUUUCGGAUCAAAAUUAUUUUCGGCUGUUUCCACACCUUUUUUUCUCGAUUGUGCAGAAAUUCUUCACACCGUCUGCACAGAUGGGCAAACUGAGACCCGGACGAGUCCCAUUGAGAGAGAGAGGCAGAGCCGGGGUUGGGAGAAGACUGAGAUUUCUGGGAUCCGGCUUGGGGUGUUUCCGCUGGGUGGGGGCGCCGGUUUGCGAAGAGCUUUCCUCGGACAGCUACUGCUGAUUUUUGUCGCUCAGCCAGCCAAGUGGGGGCGAUUCUGAGUAAUCGCAGGCAAUCAGCGCGGCUGGGGUUAAAAGCGAAAGGGACUCGCGGGCGAACGGCCGGGGAGGGCGGCGGGCACAGAGCCCAGACGCCGGCAAAGGCGGGGCGCCGCCGGGGUUCCCUCGGUGCGAGCGCGCGCGGCACUUCCUGCUUUUGCUCCUCCCUGCGGUCCUGCCGGCCGUUGUAAACUGGCGCUGCGGGCCACACCCGUGUUCCAGGCCCGCUAACCCACCGGCGGCCCCAGAGCCCCAGGCGGCCCCAGAGACCCAGCCUCAAUCCUCAGUCCUCGUACAGUCCUCAGGUCCAAGUUCUGGCCAUAGGAACGCCAGCCAGAUCUGCAGCUCAGCUAGCUGAAUUUCAGGUUCCAGAGACCUGGCCCUUUUCUUCCAUGUAGGGGACAGUCAGGUUCUCUGGCCUGGGUUUUCUAAAAGUACCCAGAGUUGAACUACCUUC